GGUUUCAUAACAGCUCUUCUCCCAUAAAAUUCCUCUCUCUCUUCGCGUUCGAAGUCCUAACCCUAACCUCCACAUCAUUCAUCCCCAUGGCCAGCGACGAGCCAUCGUCUCCUUCUUCCGCCGGCAAGCACCGGAGGUCGGCGGACGGGCAAGGACCGGAGGAGUUGUCGACGCGCCGGAAGCACCACCGUCACCACCACCGUCACCACCGCCACCGCCGCCACCGCCAUCACAGCGAGCACAGCCGGGAGAGGGACGAUAAGGAAACCGCCCUUACCGUGGCGGAUGCGGAUGCGGAUGCGGAAUCCUCUGCCGUGCCUGAGCCUGGUGAUGACGACCGGGAGGAGGGGGAGAUUCUUGAAGAAGAAGAGGGAGGUGGAGGGAUCAAUGGAGAGAAAGGCGUCAGCUUGGAGGUGGGAGGGGGUUCUGAUGUUGAAUCGGGCGAGAUCAAGGUGGACGGUGCCGAUGCUUAUUCCAAACGGGCAGCUUCUGGGGAGAAGGAUGCUUUGUCCGGCGAUAGUUUAAAGGUGCUUAAUUCUAAUCAGAAUACAUGGACAGAUGAAUGCAUGUUGGACACUCAUCUUUUCGAGAACUUCAGUGGUAAGGAUGAAGAUCAAGUGAAGGGAUACGAGGCAAACAGAGAAACACGUGUUUGGGAGACUGGUAAUAUAUCAGCGAGUGAUGGGGAGAAUGAAGGAGCCACUGUUGGUGAAGCAAGACAACGACGAUCAAAUUCACCUCGGAAAGGAGCUGAGAAGGAAAAGAAGCGCAAGACUAUCACUACACAUGAUAGAAAAAGUUGGUCAAGAUCAAGGUCUCCUGUGUCUGGAGAAAGUUUGCAUGCAGCAAAGCACAGGAAAAAGGAUAAUUGUGAUAUCAAAGAUUCUGAGCAUAACUUGGAGAGGCUUGAAUCGAGGCAGCACAUGGAUCUAGGGUAUGCUGACAGUAAAGUAUCAGAUAAGAAGGAUAGAUCUAUACCACCCAAGAAUUUGCGGGAGAGAUACAAAGACACCAGACGAUCUCCAUCUUACAGCAGGCGCAUUGCUGAAGCUGAUCAUAGGGAUCGGUCAAGGUCCCGUGACCAUAUGAGGGAGAGAUCAUAUGAAAGGGGUUCAGAUUAUUAUGCAGAUGGUGGUGCUCAAUCUGGCCAGUUUGAGUUGCAAGGUAAUGUUAGGAAUGAGUUGGACAAAUAUGCAACCAGAAGUAGAACAAGUGAAAGAGGGGUGCACAGGGAACGAGAGAGUAGUAAUAGUUAUUGCAGAUAUGAUGACCGGGAGGAUAGGCAUGGCAAUUGGGAAAGAGAUAGGGAUAAAGAAAGGUACAGCAACAGUCUUAGAGACAGAGGUAGUAAGGAGGUGGAUAAGGAUGCUCGUAGAGAAAUUGAGAGGAGCAGUAGCUAUAGCAGACAUGACAGGCGGGAGUACAGGCAUCUAAGUAGGGGCAGAGAGAGGGAAAGAAAAAGAUACAGUAGUAGUAAAGAAAGAGGUAGCGAGAACCUGCGGGACAUGAGUUGGGAGAGGUAUAGAGAGAGGGAGAAGGUAAGGGAUAUCGACAGUGAGCGCAAAAGGGACAGAGAUGGUGAACAUAGGAAUAGGAAUCAGGUUAGCGAUAGGGACAUACAUAUGCAUACAGAAAGAGAAAAUGGACUGAUGGAAAGGGAUAAGGUUACCGGUCAAGACAGGCAUAGGUAUUCUAGGCAUUCAAAAUAUGAUGAAGUGGAACAUUGCAAGGAGAAAACAAGAUCUAAGGACGCCGCCAAGGAAAGUAGGUAUAAUAGACACAAUCCCAAAGAAGAAAAAGUGGAAUCUAUCAGGGAGGAAGAUGAAGAAGACUAUAAAGAGAGAGUUGAACAACAGCUUGCAAAACAGGAUGAGGAAGAUGUUGACAAAAUCAAGGAGGAAAGUAGAAAAAGGAGACAAGCUAUCCUAGAAAAGUACAAACAGCAACAACUGAAGCAACAUGUGGAAUCCUCAUCUAAUGAUAAUGAGAAAGAGGAAAAUGCAUCUACAGAUAAGGACAAGCUGCAGGAGGUAAAAUUUACUAGAGCUGAUAAACAAGCCCCAAAUGAAGAGCUUGAAACUAGGCAUGAUACUUUGGACAUGUAUGUUGCUGAUCCAUCAUUUAUUGUGGGCAAAUCACCUGUGCAAAAUGGACAAUCCAUUGACGAGAAAACAACUGGUGCUAGGGGGCUUGGGGAGGGUACUCCCAAGAGUGAGAGAUCAACUGAUAUGUUUUGUGAUGAUAUCUUUGGAGAAUCACCUGCUGGAGUUCGUAAAUCGGGCAAAGGAGAUGACCUUCAAAUUGAUAGAAAUGGUCUUCAUGACAAUUGGGAUGAUGCAGAGGGAUACUAUAGUUACAGGUUUGGUGAAGUGCUUGAUGGUCGUUAUGAAAUUAUUGCAGCUCAUGGAAAAGGUGUUUUUUCAACUGUCGUUCGUGUGAAGGAUCUUAAAGCUGGGAAAGGUGAUCCUGAAGAAGUAGCCAUAAAAAUCAUACGCAACAAUGAUACCAUGUACAAGGCAGGUCAAGGGGAAUUAGUCAUACUGAAGAAAUUGGCAGGUGCAGAUCCUGAGGACAAACGCCACUGCGUUAGGUUUCUUUCAAGUUUCAAGUAUCGGAAUCAUCUUUGUUUAGUUUUUGAAUCUCUUCAUAUGAACCUACGUGAGGUUCUGAAGAAAUUUGGGCGUAAUAUUGGUCUUAAGCUGACUGCUGUCAGGGCAUAUGCUAAGCAGCUUUUCAUUGCGCUGAAACAUCUAAAAAACUGUGGCGUUCUGCACUGUGAUAUAAAGCCGGAUAACAUGCUGGUGAAUGAGGCUAAAAAUGUGCUAAAGCUCUGUGAUUUUGGCAAUGCUAUGUUUGCUGGUAAGAAUGAAAUAACACCAUACCUGGUUAGCCGCUUCUACCGUGCCCCAGAAAUAAUUCUUGGAUUGCCAUAUGAUCAUCCGAUAGACAUUUGGUCCGUUGGUUGCUGUUUAUAUGAGCUUUAUACAGGGAAAGUCCUUUUUCCUGGUCCAUCAAACAAUGACAUGCUUCGACUCCACAUGGAGUUAAAGGGUUCUUUCCCAAAGAAGAUGCUCCGAAAGGGUGCCUUUGCUGAUCACCAUUUUGAUCAGGAUUUGAGUUUUCAUGCUACAGAGGAGGAUCCAGUUACAAAGAAGACUGUUAAUAGACUGGUUCUCAAUAUCAAGCCAAAGGACAUUGGUGCCUUCAUAUCAAGCUCUCCUGGGGAGGAUCCCAAAAUGUUAUUGAAUUUUAAAGAUCUUCUAGAAAGAAUAUUUGUCUUGGAUCCAGAAAAGAGGUUGACGGUAUCGCAAGCAUUGAGUCAUCCAUUUACCACGGGCAAGUGAACUAAGAUGCUGAUUUUUCUGACUGCAAAUAUGCUGUUGAGCAUGCCCCUUCCCUGUGAUCUAACUUUCUAUUUAGUCAUCUAAUUUUUCGGCAUUUAUGUCUUUUCCCUGCUGCAUGGGAGCUCUAAGUUUGGAGUGCGUGGAUGAAGCAUGGAAGAGAUGCUGGUUGAAAAAAAAAGACCUUCCUGCAUGGCAGUUCUUAUCAGUGGGAUGUGUUCUGUUUCUUGGUUUCUGCCAGGCUAUGAGGCUAGCAACAAUGUUUAAUAUGGGCAACCAAAAGAAGGCCUUUGCAUAGGAGACUGCUGGAUGCAGGGCCGGUGCUGUGAAAAGUUUUCAUGGUGUAGUUGCUAAUUUUUUGGAGACUCAGUAAGUUUCCCUUUUUUCUUAUUAAUUCUCACUAUGCUUUGAGCAAUUUCUGUCAGAAUGUGGGAAAAGAAACAACUUUAAUUUUAUUAUAUUCUUUUGACUGGUUAUGCUGUAGAUAUGGAAACCUCUUUGCAUUGUGUGCUUGUAUUGUUUUUUGGGUUGAGGGAUUGAGGAUGGUUGAAGUUUUACUUGCUCUUUGAUUUGAUAAAAAUCAGUGGUUCUUUAGUUUCAUCAUUUGGUAUGUCUGCUUCCAGUGACAGUUUAGAACAUGUUUCAUAAUUCUGGUCAACAUGUUUUGGAUUGUGAGUGAUUCUGACUCAUUCUGAAGUUGUUUUGGGUGUUUCAAGUGCGAAAUAAGAUUCAUUCAUUCUAUUUUUUGGGGUUGUUUUGACGGUUUCUGGGCUUGAUCUUUAGAAAGGUUUUUUAUUAAAAAGGGAUUUGGCUAGUUUUAAUCAACUUGGACCUUAAAGAUUUAGUUUAAUGUUUUCAAGCUAACUCAAACUAGGUCCGUUUGAAUUUUUAAAUGUUAUGCUAAGGUGGAUGUGGAUUAAACUUUGGUGGAAUUUAGACCGAGUCUUGCGUCAGUGGUCACACCCCUCUGCUUGGUAACCAGAGGUUUGGGGUUCAGUUCUGGGUGGUGCAUUCACACAUAUUUGAGCUUGGAUAAUUGUAGUGCAGGUGGGUCUCCUUCCUUCCCUCCCUCUCUCUCUCUCUCUACAAAGAAAUGAAGGAAUAGAUUUGGAUAAGAGAACAUUGAGGAAGGUUUAGGGAGUUUAAAAUCCAAACAAAAGCCAAUGCAAUUAAAGAUGGGGAUUUAAUUGCGAAUUAAUUUCUAUAUUUUUGUUUAUUUUUAGGACUUGGAGUUUGACUGCCGUUAUAACUUUUCUUGUGCCAAGACCUUCAAAGAUCUUUGACACUACUUUUCAAUACGCUCCAGCCAUAUUCUCAUAAAUUCCUCAUUUAUCAAUUCACUUUAAGUGAUGCUACAUUUUCCCUGCUUAUAUCAACUCCCUCUUUCUUGUUGUCAUGUAGCCCCUUCCCCUUAUUCUAGGUCAGUCAUAUUUGUGAUUAGUAGCUUCCACUGUUUCAUCAGAUUUUCUCUUUGUAUAAAUCAUUAUUGAUGCAUGUAUCUCUCACUUUUAAGGGUUGGACAAACUGUUUUUCGCAUAAAAUGGAAUUUGUGUUUUUGCAAAUUAUUUCAUGAAUGGAGCUGAAAAAUCCAAAAACUCUUCGGACAUUGCUUUUUAGAAGUUGUUGCUUUUCGGUUGCAUAGAUUUAAUUGGAUAGAUCAAAAUAUAACUGCAGCCCAUCUACUGUGGGAACAUUGAUAUAAUGAACAAAAACGAGUCAUGAUCUUUAAUACCUAAUAAGCCUAGACUUUAGGUAUGCAUUUUUUUUCCGUGUAACUAUGCCUUUGCCAUUUCGAAAUUCGUUGAAAGAGAACCCAAUUGCUUCCUUUUCAAAUUCUGAAACUGCGAUUUGGUUGAUUUUUACCAUUUUAGCAAUUGCUGGUCGGUUAUCUGAAGACUAAAUUUGCCUUUUCAAUUUCUUUUUUCUUGUUUUCAGUUCUUCCAUAUACACCCCUUAGUUGCAUUUUCUUUGAUGCAUUGGAAUUGCUCCUAAGCGUCAUGGUUGAUCAUGGUUUGGUUGUGGCUUAAUCGUGGUUGAGUUUCUCGAUUCUUCCUCUUCUAUUUUAUUUUAUUUAUAUUUUUUAUCAAGCCAUCUGAGCUGAGUUUUUUAUUCCAUAAAACUUCGAUUAUCGUCCUUCCUUUUGCCAUAUAUGCUUAUAUUCCCUUAUUUCUGCUAUCGGUAUGGCUAGAACAAUUGUCCAAAUACUGAAGGCAAGAAAGCAGUCGAGGGGGCUUGUUUUUUAAACAAGCUCCAUGGUUAUCUUGUAGUUAUCAAAUCAUUCUUCACUAAAAGAUACCUACUUACCAAACCUUGUAUGGUUCAGCACUUCACCUACUCUGGUGUUUAACACCUAAGCUCUAAUAUUCGUUCCUUCAUUUGAACUUUAGCCAUAGUCUGAUUUUUGUUCCGGUUUAUGUCUCGUCUAGUUGUUAUUAGUAAUUUUAUUGGUUUCAUUGGGUCUGGAUGCAAUUUGGCUGUUUCGGCUGAAAAUUGUAGAAAUUGAGAAAAAUAUCAACUAUAGUGAGGGCAAACAUUACAAAUAAAAGGACAAGGACAAUAAGCUAGGCAUGUUUCAACGCAUAUUAUAUUUGUUUUGCGACCUUCCGAUUUAUUCCUUUAGUGGUUUUGCGCUAAAACAAUCAUUGUUUGGAAAGAUUUUAGGCAGGAGAGGGGUGAUCAAGGGGCUGCCCAGUGGCUAAGUGCUAGGUGGGCAUCUAGAAUAAAAGCAGUGCACACAUUUAAUCAAAAAUGAAAAAAAUCUUAUUGGAGGAAAUGUCCUCAGGGACUUCAGAACUCCUGGUGAUGGGAGGUUUUUGCUUCUUAUUUUGGAUCAUCGCCACAAGCAGCUUUAGCUCUUACUAUCUAAUUCUGCUCCAACAUCAGUUGCAUCCACUACUGUUCGCAAUAGCAAGAGCCUCAUUAAACAUAAUGGCUCUUGCUGGCAGCAACCUUACCCCAUCAGUAGCCAUUGUAACUGCUGGCACCAAGACUACCAAAUGCUUCCAUGGACUACCAUGUCAAGGGCAUUAAUGAAUAAGGAGAUUUUGGGGAGGAGGAAAGGGGAAAAGAAAAAAACAGCAACUACUGAAAAUCACCAUUGUAACUGCUGGCAUCAAACGCCGCCAUUGAUUGCUGUUCCCCGCCAUCGAACCAUCACUCCCUUGUCGCCUUCUUGCUGUGAUAGGAGUCUAGAGCUCAUUCAACAAAAUUUUGGGGCUUUGGAUGGGAGUUGGGUGUUUCUUAGGCAUCAGGCUUAUGGUCCCUGACCCAUUUAACUUGAACCCCAACAUGAACCAGCACUAGGUCACCUGGUGCGCGUGCCAGGCUUAAAAAGGGAUGCAUGUCCUGGCAACUUUCUAGUCAUGGGCCACCUAGACUCAGACGAGGAGCCCUAGGCCUGACUUGUCCUAAUACAGGCAAUGGCUUGUUUUACAGAACAAUAGAAACGGGUAAAAGAUAUUUUUCCAAAAUAAAAUGCAAAAAUAAUGUUUGACGGCAAUUAAUGUGCGACAUUCUAUGAGAUGUGAGUUCUCUGAUAGCCCUGCUUGUGUUUAAAAAGUUAGCUUCAUCUAUAUUUCUUAAAACUAAUGUUGCAAUUCUUCCAAACUAUUCCAAAUGUUAUAGGUCUUAUGUUUAAACUAAAGAAAAUACUUUCUGACAUCAGAGAAACAAAUAGAUGCCCAAAAAUAAGUAAAGAGGUACGUAUCCAUAAUUUGGCCUCUAAAAUUUAAUUUCAGCUGAACUUUUCAAAAUUGCCGCAUUGGCUUUACUUGAAACUAGAAUGUUUUCUUGCUGGACUCUGAUCUUUAGAAGCAUUUAGGUUAAUGUCAGCCUCAAUUGGUGCUUCUCAUUAACAAUUUAAAAAAUAUUUAACAUUUAGCAUUGUAAUCAAAAUAAUCAGAUUUCAAGACAGAAGGUCUACUUUUUCCCUUUUAUGUAAGAUAUAAAAUGAUUAAAGAUGCUGGAAAUUUUAUGUAGGUUAUGCACUAUCACGUCGGAAAUAGCUUGAUAUUUAAUCAGUUAAUA